rnacentral:lncRNA from 1 species
CUGGCCCGGGUGGAUGACCUUCGGCUGGUGAGGGCGCUGGAGAUGUGUGUGGACACUCGUGAGGGCAGCCUGGGGAACUUUGGGGUGCACCUGCCCAACCUGGACCAACUGAAGCUGAACGGCAGCCACCUGGGCUCCCUGAGGGACUUGGGCACGUCUCUGGGCCACCUGCAGGUGCUGUGGCUGGCUCGCUGUGGCCUCGCUGACCUGGAUGGCAUCGCCUCUUUGCCAGCACUUAAGGUGAGUCUGGGCACCCUGGGCUGGGGAGGGCUGGGCUGGGCCGGGCCCUGGCUCAGAGCCCCGCGCUGCCCAAGAACUCUACGCCUCCUACAACAACAUCUCGGACACUGAGCCCGCUGUGCCUGCUGGAGCAAUUGGAGGUGCUGGACCUGGAGGGUGACCCCGUGGAGGACCUGGGGUAGGUGCGCUACUUGCUUCUGUGCCCACGCCUGGCCAUGCUCACCCUGGAGGGCAACCUGGUGUGCCUACAGCCGGCCCCUGGC